rnacentral:rRNA from 1 species
UACGGAGGGUGCAAACGUUGCUCGGAAUCACUGGGCGUAAAGCGCACGUAGGCGGCCACGUAAGUUGGGUGUGAAAGCCCUGGGCUCAACCCAGGAAGUGCAUUCAAAACUGCAUGGCUUGAGUACCGGAGGGGCUCAGAGAAUUCCCGGUGUAGAGGUGAAAUUCGUAGAUAUCGGGAGGAAUACCAGUGGCGAAGGGC